AGAAUAAAAUGAUAAUGUGAAUCAAGCUGGCAUUAUUUAGGGCAUGCAAGGUGAGAUGGUGGACUAAGUUGGAGUAAAUGUUGAAAAUAAAAACAGUCGUGAAAAUAGUACUUUCCUGCAGCAUCACAUUGUCACGGCAAAUAGAGAGGAAGCUACUAAUUAUGUAAUAAAAAAUCGAGUUUAAAGAAUACCAAAGAAUCAAGAAUCGAGAGCCAGUAAAUACAUCUGGUGUUAAAAAGUGAAUAUUAAAAGUGUACAGCGUAUCAUACAUAAUUGUAAAAAGUGCUCAAAAUUGUACAAAAGUGUUAUAAGUGUACAAUAACGUACAUCGCGUACAGUGUGUACAGCAAUAACGUGAUGAGUUUAAGAACAAAUUAUUACCAUGUGACAUACUAUUGGGAUUUAAAUCGUGCGCAAUGUUGUGUGAUUGUGAUUAAGACCUGGUAAAUAUCGCGAGCAGGCGCGAGUAUGGAGUUUGACCGGCAGUCGCUGGAAGCUUGGCAGCGGGAUCAGCCGCUGUCAGUUCUACAGCUAGAUCCAGCUGACAGAGCUGUACUUAGAAUAGCAGGUAUGUGACCUUAUGUAUCAACUUUCAGUUUGUUGUUUAUAUGGAAUCAUGGUUAAGUUGAACCAGGUAUUUUUUUGUUUUCUUUAACCUAAUUUUAAAUUCAAAUAUUGACUCAAUAUCGUAGAAA